rnacentral:rRNA from 1 species
CGGGCAUGCCUGUUCGAGCGUCAUUUCAACCCUCAAGCCCUGCUUGGUGUUGGGGUCCUACGGCUGCCGUAGGCCCUGAAAGCUAGUGGCGGGCUCGCUAUAACUCCGAGCGUAGUAGUAAAAUAUCUCGCUAGGGAGGUGUCGCGGGUUCCGGCCGUGAAAGCCCAUCUUUUACACAAGGUUGACCUCGGAUCAGGUAGGAAUACCCGCUGAACUUAAGCAUAUCAAUAAGCGGAGGAAAAGAAACCAACAGGGAUUGCCCCAGUAACGGCGAGUGAAGCGGCAACAGCUCAAAUUUGAAAUCUGGCUUCGGCCCGAGUUGUAAUUUGUAGAGGAUGCUUUUGGUGAGGUGCCUUCUGAGUUCCCUGGAACGGGACGCCAGAGAGGGUGAGAGCCCCGUAUAGUUGGACACCGAGCCUCUGUAAAGCUCCU